rnacentral:tRNA from 1 species
GCCUUAGUAGCUUAGUUCAAAGCAUCGGUCUUGUAAUCCGAAGAUCGGAGGUUAAAUUCCAUAAGGCC